ensembl:lncRNA
AAAGAGUAUAUUUUUAUAUAGCCUAUGAACAUAACAUUACAUUUUACAUUCCACCACCAAGUGCUAACUCAUAGCCCUUCUAGUAAUUUAAUAGGAUCUCUAUGUCAUAAACUGUCAAGCUUCCAGAAAUGGCAGCCAUAUUGGUCGGAGAAAUCCAACCCAGUCUAACUGGAAUGAAUGGCAGUAGAGGUACAAUCCUAAAAGUAAGGCAUAUGACAUAAGAAAUUGUGUGAUAGAAUUAUUGUCAACCUAAAAUAUUGUCAUAAUUAUAAAUUCUGUUUAUACAGGUUUCCUACACAUUUUCUGUAUAAAUAGCCUCUAAAAUAUAUGUAAACAGACCAUAAAUGCCUCCUUGGGAAGCUGUGAGUUAUAUUAUAUGAUACAAUAUCAGUAGGCUAUUUGUUGCAUUUACAACUUGUCUUAGUCCUAUCAUCAACUGAUUUCAGCCAGUGAAUGGCUGUGGGAUGUUGGCAUAUUGGCAGUUAAUUUGAGGGGGAAAUCAUUCUGCUAAAACUGGCUGGCUAGCUAGCUAACAAACACAGUGCAGAUCAAUUCUUCAAAUUAUUUUAUGUUUUUACACUGUCUUAUCACUUCACUGGCAAACCAUGGUUGACCAACUUCCUGACAAAAAUGGCUGACCUAUAUCCCAUCAUAAGGUUCAUGGCCAUUCUAGUAUUCUAAUUAUAUGUGCCAACUGCUGUUCCACACUGUAUUAUUUUCGAAAUUGGAUUAUGUCAGUGCUACAUUUUGCUGUUGUCUUUCAUUUUGUUGUAUUUGUCCUGUUCCUUUCCUAUUUCCCCACACACAUUCUGUCACAUUUUGAGGGUGUCUUUGUCUUAUCCUUUUCUCUCCAUCAUCAUUGUUUUUAUAUCCUUUGUGUUGCAGUAAAUCAAUGUAUAAUUACUUGAAUAGCUGCAUUCCUUCUAAUUCCAACUGUGAGCAUGGAUUAUAGGAGAGGCUAAGGUAUUCAUUGUGUAAUUAUUUUAUAUAGGUCUAAUUACAGUAUUUUUAACUACAUUAAUUAUUUUAAUAAGAUAAUAUAUA